rnacentral:rRNA from 1 species
AUCUACUCGGCGUUCCGCGCCGCCGGAUAACCGUAGUAAUUCUAGGGCUAAUACGUGCGAAGCGCCCGAAGCCGCGAGGCGACGGGCGUUCUCGCCGGAUGUAGGAACCGACCCGGGGACCGCCGGGGCAACCCGGCGCCCCCGAGACGGGGCGAACCACGGUGAAAUGACGGAUCGUCGGCCCCGCGCCGGCGACUCGCCGAAUGAGUUUCUGACCUAUCAACUCGAGACGGCGGGGUAGAGGCCCGCCGCGGUAACGACGGGUAACGGGGAAUCAGGGUUCGAUUCCGGAGAGGGAGCCCGAGAAACGGCUACCACUUCCAAGGAAGGCAGCAGGCGCGCAACUUACCCUAAUCUCGAUUCGAGGAGGUAGUGACAAGAAAUACCGAUGCGGGACCCUACGGGUGCCGCGUUCGGAAUGAGUACGAUUCGAACCACCUAACGAGGAACGAUCGGAGGGCAAGUCUGGUGCCAGCAGCCGCGGUAAUUCCAGCUCCAAUAGCGUACGUU